AGUGAACGCUGGCGGUAGGCCUAACACAUGCAAGUCGAACGGCAGCACAGUAAGAGUUUGCUCUUACGGGUGGCGAGUGGCGGACGGGUGAGGAAUACAUCGGAAUCUACUUUUUCGUGGGGGAUAACGUAGGGAAACUUACGCUAAUACCUCAUACGACCUACGGGUGAAAGCAGUGGAUCUUCGCACCUUGCGCGAUUGAAUGAGCCGAUGUCGGAUUAGCUAGUUGGCGGGGUAAAGGCCCACCAAGGCGACGAUCCGUAGCUGGUCUGAGAGGAUGAUCAGCCACACUGGAACUGAGACACGGUCCAGACUCCUACGGGAGGCAGCAGUGGGGAAUAUUGGACAAUGGGCGCAAGCCUGAUCCAGCCAUACCGCGUGAGUGAAGAAGGCCUUCGGGUUGUAAAGCCCUUUUGUUGGGAAAGAAAAGCAGCAGGUUAAUACCCCGCUGUUCUGACGGUACCCAAAGAAUAAGCACCGGCUAACUUCGUG
rnacentral:rRNA from 1 species